GGGGGGGGGGGGGGGGCUGUUAUUCUGUAAACAUUUAAUUUUCACCCCUUUUUUCUCUAAUCUUCAAAAAAAUAACCCCUUUUUUCUCUAAUCUUCAAAAAAUUAACCCCAUUUUUUCUAAUCUUCAUUUGUUUGGCCCGUUAUUCUCUAAUCUUCAUUUUUAAGGGCAUUAUUCUUUAAUCAUUUAACCCCAUCCAAACCCUCAUAUA
rnacentral:lncRNA from 1 species